UGGGGAAUUUUGGACAAUGGGCGAAGCCUGAUCCAGCAAUGCCGCGUGUGUGAAGAAGGCCUUCGGGUUGUAAAGCACUUUUGUCCGGAAAGAAAUCCUUGGCUCUAAUACAGUCGGGGGAUGACGGUACCGGAAGAAUAAGCACCGGCUAACUACGUGCCAGCAGCCGCGGUAAUACGUAGGGUGCAAGCGUUAAUCGGAAUUACUGGGCGUAAGCGUGCGCAGGCGGUUUGCUAAGACCGAUGUGAAAUCCCCGGGGCUCAACCUGGGAACUGCAUUGGUGACUGGCAGGGCUAGAGUAUGGCAGAGGGGGGUAGAAUUCCACGUGUAGCAGUGAAAUGCGUAGAGAUGUGGAGGAAUACCGAUGGCGAAGGCAGCCCCCUGGGCCAAUACUGACGCUCAUGCACGAAAGCGUGGGGAGCAAACAGGAUUAGAUACCCUGGUAGUCCACGCCCUAAACGAUGUCAACAGUUGUUGGGAUUCAUUCCUUAGUAACGUAGCUAACGCGUGAAGUUGACCGCCUGGGGAGUACGUCGCAAGAUUAAACUC
rnacentral:rRNA from 1 species